rnacentral:tRNA from 1 species
AGCCUUGUGGACAAAUAGACAAGUUGCUUUGAUUCUCAAUCAAAGAGAAGCGGGUGCAACUCCCGUCAAGGCUGCCA